GUAAGAGCAAAGCAGGGGACCUUCGGGCCUUGCGCUACCGGAUAUGCCCAGGUGGGAUUAGCUAGUUGGUGAGGUAAGGGCUCACCAAGGCGACGAUCCCUAGCUGGUCUGAGAGGAUGAUCAGCCACACUGGAACUGAGACACGGUCCAGACUCCUACGGGAGGCAGCAGUGGGGAAUAUUGCACAAUGGGCGCAAGCCUGAUGCAGCCAUGCCGCGUGUAUGAAGAAGGGCCUUCGGGUU
rnacentral:rRNA from 1 species